rnacentral:rRNA from 18 species
AAAUUGAAGAGUUUGAUCAUGGCUCAGAUUGAACGCUGGCGGCAGGCCUAACACAUGCAAGUCGAACGGUAACAGGAAGCAGCUUGCUGCUUCGCUGACGAGUGGCGGACGGGUGAGUAAUGUCUGGGAAACUGCCUGAUGGAGGGGGAUAACUACUGGAAACGGUGGCUAAUACCGCAUAACGUCGCAAGACCAAAGAGGGGGACCUUCGGGCCUCUUGCCAUCAGAUGUGCCCAGAUGGGAUUAGCUUGUUGGUGAGGUAACGGCUCACCAAGGCGACGAUCCCUAGCUGGUCUGAGAGGAUGACCAGCCACACUGGAACUGAGACACGGUCCAGACUCCUACGGGAGGCAGCAGUGGGGAAUAUUGCACAAUGGGCGCAAGCCUGAUGCAGCCAUGCCGCGUGUAUGAAGAAGGCCUUCGGGUUGUAAAGUACUUUCAGCGGGGAGGAAGGUGUUGUGGUUAAUAACCGCAGCAAUUGACGUUACCCGCAGAAGAAGCACCGGCUAACUCCGUGCCAGCAGCCGCGGUAAUACGGAGGGUGCAAGCGUUAAUCGGAAUUACUGGGCGUAAAGCGCACGCAGGCGGUCUGUCAAGUCGGAUGUGAAAUCCCCGGGCUCAACCUGGGAACUGCAUUCGAAACUGGCAGGCUUGAGUCUUGUAGAGGGGGGUAGAAUUCCAGGUGUAGCGGUGAAAUGCGUAGAGAUCUGGAGGAAUACCGGUGGCGAAGGCGGCCCCCUGGACAAAGACUGACGCUCAGGUGCGAAAGCGUGGGGAGCAAACAGGAUUAGAUACCCUGGUAGUCCACGCCGUAAACGAUGUCUACUUGGAGGUUGUGCCCUUGAGGCGUGGCUUCCGGAGCUAACGCGUUAAGUAGACCGCCUGGGGAGUACGGCCGCAAGGUUAAAACUCAAAUGAAUUGACGGGGGCCCGCACAAGCGGUGGAGCAUGUGGUUUAAUUCGAUGCAACGCGAAGAACCUUACCUGGUCUUGACAUCCACAGAAGAAUCCAGAGAUGGAUUUGUGCCUUCGGGAACUGUGAGACAGGUGCUGCAUGGCUGUCGUCAGCUCGUGUUGUGAAAUGUUGGGUUAAGUCCCGCAACGAGCGCAACCCUUAUCCUUUGUUGCCAGCGGUUAGGCCGGGAACUCAAAGGAGACUGCCAGUGAUAAACUGGAGGAAGGUGGGGAUGACGUCAAGUCAUCAUGGCCCUUACGACCAGGGCUACACACGUGCUACAAUGGCGCAUACAAAGAGAAGCGACCUCGCGAGAGCAAGCGGACCUCAUAAAGUGCGUCGUAGUCCGGAUUGGAGUCUGCAACUCGACUCCAUGAAGUCGGAAUCGCUAGUAAUCGUGGAUCAGAAUGCCACGGUGAAUACGUUCCCGGGCCUUGUACACACCGCCCGUCACACCAUGGGAGUGGGUUGCAAAAGAAGUAGGUAGCUUAACCUUCGGGAGGGCGCUUACCACUUUGUGAUUCAUGACUGGGGUGAAGUCGUAACAAGGUAACCGUAGGGGAACCUGCGGUUGGAUCACCUCCUUACCUUAAAGAAGC